rnacentral:rRNA from 1 species
CGGUACGUACUGGCAUUGUUGGUUUCUCCCUUCUGACGAACCAUGAUGUCAUUUAUUUGGUGUUGUGGGGAAUCAGGACUGUUACUUUGAAAAAAUUAGAGUGUUUAAAGCAGGCUCACGCUUGAAUACAUUAGCAUGGAAUAAUGAAAUAGGACGUUUGAUUCUAUUUUGUUGGUUUCUAGGAUCGACGUAAUGAUUAAUAGGGAUAGUUGGGGGCAUUAGUAUUCAAUUGUCAGAGGUGAAAUUCUUGGAUUUAUUGAAGACUAACUACUGCGAAAGCAUUUGCCAAGGAUGUUUUCAUUAAUCAAGAACGAAAGUUAAGGGAUCGAAGACGAUCAGAUACCGUCGUAGUCUUAACCAUAAACUAUGCCGACUAGGGAUCGGAUGAUGUUAAUUUUUUAAUGACUCAUUCGGCGCCUUACG